rnacentral:rRNA from 1 species
CCUACGGUGUGCUGCAGUGAGGAAUAUUGGUCAAUGGGCGCGAGCCUGAACCAGCCAAGUCGCGUGAGGGAGGACGGCCCUACGGGUUGUAAACCUCUUUUGCCGGGGAGCAACGGGCGCCACGUGUGGCGUCACUGAGAGUACCCGGAGAAAAAGCAUCGGCUAACUCCGGGCCAGCAGCCGCGGUAAUACGGAGGAUGCGAGCGUUAUACGGAUUUAUUGGUGUUAAAGGGUGCGUAGGCGGAUCGUUAAUUCAGUGGUCAAAUUGAGGGGCUCAACCCCUUCCCGCCAUUGAAACUGGCGUUCUUGAGUGGAAGAGAAGUAUGCGGAAUGCGUGGUGUAGCGGUGAAAUGCAUAGAUAUCACGCAGAACCCCGAUUGCGAAGGCAGCAUGCCGGCUUCCGACUGACGCUGAAGCACGAAAGCGUGGGGAUCGAACAGGAUUAGAUACCCGAGUAGUC